rnacentral:rRNA from 1 species
GUGAGGGUGAGGACGGGAGGCGAGUGAAGAGGGAGUGGGCAAGCGUUGUUCGGAAUUAAUGGUGUUAAAAGGCUCGCAGUCGGCCGACUAAGUCAGACGUGAAAUCCCUUGGCUGAUCCAAGGAAUGGAGUCGGAUACUGGACGGCUUGAAUCCGGGAGAGGGAUGUGGAAUUCCAGGUGUAGCGGUGAAAGGCGUAGAGAUCUGGAGGAACACCGGUGGCGAAGGCGGCAUCCUGGACCGGUAUUGACGCUGAGGAGCGAAAGCCAGGGGAGCAAACGGGAUUAGAUACCCGAGUAGUC